GCUGAGAGCCUGGGUGGGGGUGGGGGUCUCCUGAGCCUGCUAAAGCUCUAGACACUGACACCCACUCUCACCGGGCCUCUGCCAGCAGAGAACCGCAGGAUCGUCACCUGAGAAGCCUCCACUCCAUUCGAAGACCACGGGAUGCCCUAGAAUCCCGUCACUCUACUCUUUCAACUGGAGUUCAGAGCCCUGUGACGAGCCAGCAGUCGGAGGGCAGCACUCGGAGGUUUCCUCUAUGCCCUAUGGGCACUUUGUUCUCCAAAGCUCUUGCCCAAGAGGGCUUUUAAUUUGUUGGUUGGUAAGCCAAGAGUUAAAACAAGAGCAUGAAGGCGGGCUUCCGUGACGUCACUAGCAGUCCGCGUCUGACCUCAGAGGCGGGGGCGUGGCUAACAUCACACUGCCCCCUCCCUCCCUAUUCCCCGGCCCCUCCCCGCUGUCACCAAGCCAGGGGCACAUGAUGCAACCCGCCGCGGUUCAGUAGGUUGAUUGGUGGCCGCGCCCGGCGCCAGGCACAAGGAUUGGACAGAGGAGGCUGUGACGAAAACUGGACACAGCCCUGAAAAGAAGGGAGGAG
ensembl:lncRNA